AUUGAACGCUGGCGGCAUGCCUAACACAUGCAAGUCGAACGGGUUGUACUUCGGUACAGCUAGUGGCGGACGGGUGAGUAACACAUAGGAAUCUGCCCGAGAGUGGGGGAUAACCCAGGGAAACUUGGAUUAAUACCGCAUGAUCUCUACGGAGCAAAGCUGGGGACCUUCGGGCCUGGCGCUUUUGGAGGAGCCUAUGUCUGAUUAGCUUGUUGGUGAGGUAACGGCUCACCAAGGCGACGAUCAGUAACUGGUCUGAGAGGACGACCAGUCACACCGGAACUGAGACACGGUCCGGACUCCUACGGGAGGCAGCAGUGGGGAAUAUUGGACAAUGGGCGAAAGCCUGAUCCAGCAAUGCCGCGUGUGUGAAGAAGGCCUUCGGGUUGUAAAGCACUUUAGGAUGGAAGGAAAAAACUUCAGUUAAUAGCUGAAGUCUUGACGGUACCAUCAGAAUAAGCACCGGCUAACUCUGUGCCAGCAGCCGCGGUAAUACAGAGGGUGCAAGCGUUAAUCGGAUUUACUGGGCGUAAAGCGUGUGUAGGUGGUGG
rnacentral:rRNA from 1 species